UCAAAUAAUUACUAUCGCUGUCUCGAUUUUGACGCUCACUAGCAAGACAAAUUUUCUGAGUAAAUUCUUCCAAGUCCUCCUUGACAGAAGGACCAGGAAGUCUGGAACUUUGACUUCAGCUAUAAUCGCACCACCAUCGACACAGAGAACUUCUUUUUGUUGUUCAAGCGAGAGCGUAUGAAACUUUUGUACCUUGAGAACUGAGUUGGACUAGCAAGGUACAUGUUCCCCAUGGAAGCAAUGGUUGUAAUGGAUAUUACUCAACUUGAUGAAUCGAAACUUCAGCAUUUCCAUUAGCCUGCCUGAGCCCGAAUAAUCUCGCUGCUUCCCAGAGAACGACUGUGGACUUGAACGAGGCACCCUUCAAGAUUAAGGAAGAACACCUUGCCAGAGUAAGAGCACUAUGCCGAUCUGUGGAAAUUGGGAAACGAUUCUUUCCUCGUUGUUCAGAAGUACUGAACAAGAUCAUGGAUGGCGAUGACAUGUCACAGCUUACAUACACGGGGGAUGACACAACAGAAGUAAGGCUCUCAAAGAGAAAAAGGUACAUGGAAAUCCAAGAAGUACUAAGUAAGGCUUUUGAGGAAGAUAAAUAGGAAAUUGAUCUUUCUAGAAUGUCAUCAUCCUCAUCUUCUACAUCGAUCAGUAAGAGUAGUGAGGACUAAGCUCACCAUCGAUUAACAUUUGAAACAAACUUGAAAGAAUGGAAGGUGCUGAAACUUAUUGUCAUUCUGUAUGUUCACUCUUGGCUUCUUCUUCAUCUUUUUCAAGAUCAUAAUUCUGUAUUGCAUAGGAUUGUAUGAAGAGUGGUAAUCAAGUUUUCUUGUUAUAUCCUCUCAAUGCAUAGAUGGAUAUACUAGAGGUAUUUCUAUAUGUAUCCAUCAAAUGAGUUUGCAAAUUAAGAUGCAUAAGAAAUAGAAGGAAGAAAAAGAAAUAGUGUAAAGAAAUUGUACUGUUCCAAAAUUCCUCUAGUUUUUCUUUGGUGCUAGUAGAACCAAUUGCCUUCCUAUCUUUUGCAUGUUUCAAUUUGUUAUGUCUGUUGUAGUUGAUGGGUGAAAGAAAAGUUGCAGGACAUGACUGUCAAUAUAUACUCUAAGCUCUCUCAAGUCGUGGAACUAAAGG